CAGCAGCAGCCGCGGUAAUACGAAGGGGGCUAGCGUUGCUCGGAAUUACUGGGCGUAAAGGGAGCGUAGGCGGACAUUUAAGUCAGGGGUGAAAUCCCAGAGCUCAACUCUGGAACUGCCUUUGAUACUGGGUGUCUUGAGUGUGAUAGAGGUAUGUGGAACUCCGAGUGUAGAGGUGAAAUUCGUAGAUAUUCGGAAGAACACCAGUGGCGAAGGCGACAUACUGGAUCAUUACUGACGCUGAGGCUCGAAAGCGUGGGGAGCAAACAGGAUUAGAUACCCCGGUAGUCCCUGUCUCUUAUAC
rnacentral:rRNA from 1 species